UACGUAGGGUGCAAGCGUUGUCCGGAAUUAUUGGGCGUAAAGAGCUCGUAGGCGGUCUGUUGCGUCGGCUGUGAAAACCCGGGGCUCAACUCCGGGCCUGCAGCCGAUACGGGCAGACUAGAGUUCGGCAGGGGAGACUGGAAUUCCUGGUGUGGCGGUGGAAUGCGCAGAUAUCAGGAGGAACACCGGUGGCGAAGGCGGGUCUCUGGGCAGUAACUGACGCUGAGGAGCGAAAGCGUGGGGAGCGAACAGG
rnacentral:rRNA from 1 species